rfam:Salmo salar isolate Sally breed double haploid chromosome ssa23, whole genome shotgun sequence.
UAGGUCAGUUGGUAGAACAUGGUGUUUGCAACGCCAGGGUUGUGGGUUCGAUUCCCAC